AUUGAACGCUGGCGGCAGGCCUAACACAUGCAAGUCGAGCGGCACGGCGGACGGGGGAGUACUGCCUAGGUAUCUGCAUGGUCGUGGCGGAUCCCGUCCGGAAACGGGCGCCAUUGCCACAUACUAUCAGAUCCGUUUCGGUGGGAUUUGCUAGUUGGUGGGGUAAAGGCCUACCAAGGCGACGAUCCCUAACUGGUCUGAGAGGAUGAUCAGUCACACUGGAACUGAGACACGGUCCAGACUCCUACGGGAGGCAUCAGUGGGGAAUAUUGGACAAUGGGCGAAAGCCUGAUCCAGCCAUGCCGCGUGUGUGAAGAAGGUCUUCGGAUUGUAAAGCACUUUAAGUAGGGAGGCGUUACCAGCAGAAUAAGCACCGGCUAACUACGUGCCAGCCGCCGCGGUAAUAC
rnacentral:rRNA from 1 species